AUACAACCCUAGAUAAUUAUAGUGAUAAGACAAACAUCCUGAUGACUCAACCGAUUCCUUUAUUGUAUCAUAAACUGCUUCAUUGCUUUUUUUCAAUGAUUUGGAUGGGACCAAUAUCUGAAAUGAAGUCAUAUCGCACUUGGAGCAUAGCUUCAAGUGCGUCUUACAACGAUACAACUACGCAAUUACAUAGUUCUCCAAUGAGAAUAUUCGCGAGAAAAAACUUGUUGCAUUAUUGCAACCAUUGCGGUUGCACGAUUUCACUGCAGUCUACCAGUUGCAGCCGCUUGGCGAUCAUACGGCGCUGAGGUACAAAUCGUUCUCUAAUUUUCCCCCAGUUUUGCCCUGGAUCUGAUAAUUCGAUUAUUAUGUCAGAUUGCCCAAUAAAUAUCCGGAGACAGAGAUAGUGGCAUUGUAUGUAAUACUUUGAAACCACGCCCCAUGAUCAAAAUCGCUAAAAAUGCUCGUGGCUUAUCCAGCUAUUGGAUAGUGACAAAAUUUCCUGCUGGUGAGUACGGCACGGAGAUCAUACCUUCGACAAAAUAUGCAUUGCUCUAAGAAUUUCAGCUGCUAUGGAGAGGUAUUUGACAACGAAAAUGUCAGGAUAUCAGUUAUGAUAGAGCAAAAAAUUUUGAAGAACGAAAAGUUCUGUAGUUUUGAAGUUUUUUCGGCGCUAAACAUCACGGAAGAAACUUGCGAGCAAUUAUUUGCAGGCUUGGAAUCAUGCUGUCCCUUAUUUUAUUCCAUCACUUGGCAUGGGAGGAACCAAUUACUUAUGGAAAACCAAUCCUCAUUAAAGUAUUUUCUUAAAUUUCCCAACAUCACCCUACUUCAUCUCACUGCGAGAGGAUUGAAUAAACAAGAUGUGAUGCACGUUUUGAAAAGUGCUCUGGAUGUUGGAAAAACAAACAUUUUCGCUCUUCGGGGAGAAACCGAGAUGCUGGAUGAGGAAUUAGCUGCAGUUGAUUUUCCUUAUGCUGUUGAUCUUGUGAAGUUCAUACGAUCCCAAUUUGGCUCCAAGUUCUCAAUUUGUGUGGCAGGAUACCCACAACAACACCCAGAUUCAUCUUCAAAGGAAUCAGAUCUUAGUUAUCUAAAGGCCAAAGUAGACGCUGGAGCAGAUUUUAUCAUAAGUCAGAUAAUAUUUGAAUCAGAAUCCUUUAUCGAGUUUGUAAAAAACUGCAGACGGAUAGGAAUUCGAGUACCCAUAAUUCCUGGCAUAAUACUAUUGUCAAGCUACGAUUCAUUGCUUAACAUGUCAAAGCGUUGUAAAGCCGAUAUCCCUCAGAAAAUAUUGCAAGACCUAGAACUCAUGAAAGAAGACGACGCUGCUAUCCAAGAAUAUGGAAUCAACUUAUCAGUGAAACUCGUCGAAGAAAUCUUCAAAAGUGGAACAUCUAUUGGAAUUCAUAUAUUUACAUUAAAUAGAUUUCACCUAGCUCUGGAAUUUUGUAAACGUGUUGGCUUAUGUGAAGCAAAAACAAAUUCAAACGUACGAUUCAACACCGCAUUGAAGUGAGGAGCGUAACCUGUCGAGAAUUUUUGAUGAAAAGUGAACCUUUUCAUUAUCACUGAAAGAUAUGUCUUUGCUGAAAGAUACCGGAUGUGUCGUGAUGGCGAAUAACGAGUGACGCGCCGCACAUUACGUAGACGCAACCGAUAGACGCAAAGUUUCGCGGAUGCGCACAGGAUCAUUGCGCAUGGCGCUUGCCCGACCUUCUGCAGACGCCAAGUGUCCAUCGAGCGCAUCGUCUCCCUGAGUUGGGCGCCAGACCUCCGAGUAGUCGGCCAGAUACCGUGAGCGCAGUGAAACAGGACUUAACCCCCAAGAAAACCAUGGCACUAUUUCGAUUUUCGGCUAAACGGUGCCUCGAAGCACAG